rnacentral:miRNA from 1 species
AGACUCAGGGAGGGGAGGGAGAGUAGGCCACUAUGGACAUGUUGAGCCUGACCUGCCUCCUGCUCUUCCCAG